GACAACUGCUAAGUGAUUUAGGUAGUUUUAUGUUGUUGGGCUCUAUUUUAUAUCCCCGCAACACGAAACUGUCUUAAUUGCCUCGCAGUGAGA
rnacentral:pre_miRNA from 8 species